AUGGAGGUAGUGCAUCCAGUGCGAUGUUUCGUAGAAGGGACAGCCGGCUUCCUUCUCUUCUUUGGUUUUCAGCUGGAAUACCUCUGGACUGCCCCAGUACGCAUUUUGAGCUGAGUGCUGCAGGGUCCUGAUGAUCAUGGAGUAGCAGAACAGCAUGGUGCCCAAGGGGAUCACCAACCCCAGAAUGUUGAUCUCCAGGGAGCUCAGCACCUUCCACGUCGUGGAGUUGAGAGAGUACUUGGUUUUGCAGUAGGUGUGGUUGCGCUCCGUGUAACAGGUGCUGAAUAAGAAGCCUGGAAGAGAGGCCAGCACGGCCACGGACCACGUGGCCAAGCUGGUGAUGACCCCGUAAGUCAAGGUCCUCGCUCUCAAGGAAAACACCGCGUGCACUAUCGCCAGGUAUCUGUCGAUGCUCAUGAGCAUGACGAAGAAGAUGCCACUGUAAAAGCCCACCAAGUACAUCCAGGAAAUAAUCUUGCAGAGACCCAGUCCAAAAACCCACUGGUCUGCAGCAUAGUAGCCCCAGAAAGGGAGGGAGAACACGAAGAGCAGGUCUGAGAUGGCGAGGUUGAGCAGGUACACGUCAGUCAUGGACUUGAGCCUCUUGUACUUGAACAAGACCAAAACUACCACAGAAUUGCCCAGGAGACCGAACAGAAAGACCAAGGAGUAGAGAGGGGGCAGGAAGAGCCCCCCGAACGCCUUGACGCCUUCUUUGGUGCAAGGCUUGGGGAUGUUUUCAUAGAGAUAGUAAUUGUGAUAGAUGCUUUCAUCCAUGGUGGUGUCUGCUGUGUCCGUGGGGUUCAUUUUCAAAUCUCCAGGCUCCUCGACGCAGGUCUGAGCCCAACCAGAAGCUAAUGAGGGAAGAGCAGACGCGAUCUCUGUAGAAACAAAAGCAAAUCGAAAAGGUGCUGACUACAGAGCAUAGCGCUGAGUAUUGUGCCCCGGCUCAUGACACCCCCUUCCCAGCCUUCCCAAGUUGAAGGGCUCUGUUCCUCGCAGGGCAGUGCAGCCAAAUAAAACAAUCCUGCUGUUUGGAGUUA